CUUCUAAUUUUGAGACAGAUUGAACAAUUGGAAAGUAUGAUCAGCUUUAGAAAAUUAAAAUGGAAAAUUAUCAGAACGGAAGAAUGAACCAUUUUCAUCCAUGACUUCACAUGGACUGUUUGAGUAUAGAGCCAGGUGAAAUUGAAUUGUGAAUGAAAGUAUCUAGUUACACAUGUGAAAUCCUGACAUGCUUGUUAUGCUGAUAAAUGAGAAAUCCCAGAUGAGACUUUUAAAUCCAAGUAAGUUUGAAGCCACUUGAACUUUUCUAAGAUUCACUCCAGCAGCUUAUUUGCACUGAACACAGAAGUCUGAGGCAAGAAUGAGAAGAGACUAAAAUGCACCAUAGGUCUAAGCCAGAAGCUUUGAACUCAGGUACAAAUGAAUCACUUCCAAAUAAUCUGGCCCACACAAUGGAGUAUUUCCUGUCUGUGUGAAUUGGGUACUGCUUGGGUGGGCUUAUGAAUGGUGAGAAAAUACAAGGAUUAAAAUAAAUAAAUAAAUCACGGUUUCUCUUGAAUCAGUGAGGCAAUCCAUGGAGGGUAUGUGAAAUGCGAAGGACUGCUGGAAAUGUUUCAGGUUUGACACACAAUGAUCUGAUCAAACUGCAUAUUAAGAACUGCAGUAUGCUUUGGUUUAGCAACAUCCUCAUUAUCACCCAUUUUCUACCAGAUGCAUCACAGUUAUCAUUUUAUCUUGUCCUGUUAGUAUUCACGUGAUGGAUAGAAAAGAAAGAACAAAACAUACCCUUUAAAGGUUUUCUAUUCAAAUGUGUUACUUGAAUAUCUGCAAACACUAAGUGGGCUUUAGGGAGGGGGAAGUAAACACUUGCGGCAGCUUAGCAAAUACAAAAGAAAGAACAAUAUAUAAUCUUUCAAAGUCUGUCUGUUAAAGUGUGUUACUUGUAUGUCUGUAAAUAUGAGCUGGAAGUUAGGGAGGGGAAUUAAAUGCUUGUGGGAACUUAAAAUCUUCAUGUGUCUGGACGUAGGAUAAUUGCCUCCUGACGAGAAUAAGAAAUAAAUUUUCCUGGGCUCUACUCUCUACAUGCUGACCCCUAUUGUACGGGCAGUAUUUGGAUGGAGUUAACUGCUGUGUUCAGCAGGAUAACUUUUUGGUAAAGAGCAUCUUCUUACUGCUUAGUUGUAUAGUCCAACACUGGUGAUUCUAAGUAAUUCAGACCAUUACAUGGAUUUCUUCAAGAAAUAUGGUUGCAAGAGGAAAACCUUUAUUUUGCAAAAG
rnacentral:lncRNA from 1 species